CCUACGGGUGGCAGCAGUGGGGAAUAUUGGGCAAUGGGCGCAAGCCUGACCCAGCAACGCCGCGUGAAGGAAGAAGGCUUUCGGGUUGUAAACUUCUUUUAAGAGGGAAGAGCCGAAGACGGUACCUCUUGAAUAAGCCACGGCUAACUACGUGCCAGCAGCCGAGGUAAUACGUAGGUGGCAAGCGUUGUCCGGAUUUACUGGGUGUAAAGGGCGUGUAGCCGGGCUGACAAGUCAGAUGUGAAAUUCCGGGGCGCAACCCCGCACCUGAGUUUGAAACUGUUGGUCUUGAGUGUCGGAGAGGCAGCCGGAAUUCCUAGUGUAGCGGUGAAAUGCGUAGAUAUUAGGAGGAACACCAGUGGCGAAGGCGGCCUGCUGGACGACAACUGACGGUGAGGCGCGAAAGCGUGGGGAGCAAACAGGAUUAGAUACCCGAGUAGUC
rnacentral:rRNA from 1 species